CAGUAUGCAAAGCACUCACAAAACUGAGUUACUGAUUUGCUCAGGCAACGGAAGCAAUGUCUGGUAGGGAUAUUAGGGAUGUUUGCCAGCAAGCAGAACGAUCAUGGGCAUCAAAGAUAAUCCGUGGACAAGUUAGUAAAGAUGGAGACCAAGGCUCUCUUCCUCCUCUCCAAGAAUACUUGGAAAGUGCCAUGAACCGGCAAAAGGCCCUCCGCAGUAUUGCAGAACAGAGAGCACAGAAUCAAAAUCUCGACUCUCCCAGGCGGAAGCCUCGUCUUUGUGUUGAUUGAUGGUCACCAUUGUUACUCGCGAGGAAUCUCUUCUAUAUGAUUUAUUCCUUUACGAAGGGCAGGUAUUAUGGCAGUAAGACCUUUUGUAGAGAUCUUCUCUGUAUUUUUUUGUUCUUUAAUGCUCUGCCCCAAUAUCACUGGUUAGAAUCUCGAUUUUAUCGAAGAUAUAAAAUUCUCGUUUUAUAAA